rnacentral:rRNA from 1 species
UACGUAGGGGGCAAGCGUUGUCCGGAAUUAUUGGGCGUAAAGCGCGCGCAGGCGGCCAUUUAAGUUUGGUGUUUAAGCCCAGGGCUCAACUCUGGUACGCACUGAAAACUGGAUGGCUUGAGUGCAGGAGAGGAGAGUGGAAUUCCAUGUGUAGCGGUGAAAUGCGUAGAGAUGUGGAGGAACACCAGUGGCGAAGGCGACUCUCUGGCCUGUAACUGACGCUGAGGCGCGAAAGCGUGGGGAGCAAACAGG